rnacentral:hammerhead_ribozyme from 1 species
AUCUAGUUGACGAGUCCGAAAUAGGACAAAAUACGUUUCCUGGAU